ACAUUACUGAAUUUCAAAAUGAUGGCAUUUGCUUUCUGAUACUCCCACAACUUCGGCGGGAAAAUCCAGACCCGAUUGAUGAAAAGCAUUUGGCGGCCAAACCCUACCGUCCUCCUCUUCCACCUCCCCUAAUCAACCACCACCAUGGGGAUCAACGUCCUCAACGUGGCGGAGAAGCCCUCGGUGGCGAAAUCGGUGGCCACCAUACUCUCACAGAACCAGGGUCUACGAGUCAGGAAUGGCCAUUCCCGCUACAACAAGAUCUUCGAGUUCAACUACAACAUCCGCGGCCAACCCUGCCACAUGCUCUUCACCUCCGUCACCGGCCACCUCAUGGAGCUCGAAUUCGAAGAGCGUUACCGCAAAUGGCACUCUUGUGACCCCGCCGAUCUCUUCCAAGCCGAAGUCCGUAAAACCGUUCCCGAGGACAAGAAGGAUAUCAAGAGGACAUUGGAGGAGGAAGCUAGGCGGUGUCAGUGGCUUGUUUUGUGGCUCGAUUGCGAUCGAGAGGGUGAGAACAUUGCGUUUGAAGUGGUCGACGUAUGUAGGCCGGUGAAUCCUCGCCUCACGAUCAAGAGGGCUCGGUUUUCUGCACUGAUUGAGAGGGAUAUCCAUGAAGCUGUGCAGAAUCUUGUUGAGCCGAAUAAGUUUUUUGCGGAUGCUGUUGAUGCUAGGCAAGAAAUAGAUCUUCGUAUAGGGGCCUCUUUCACCAGAUUCCAGACCAUGUUGUUGAAAGAUGCUUUUGUCAUUGACAAUGCUGGAGAUGGCAGAAAUCUUGUCUUGAGUUACGGCCCUUGCCAGUUCCCUACACUUGGAUUUGUUGUGGAAAGAUAUUGGGAGAUACAAGCACAUGAGCCAGAAGAGUUUUGGACAAUCAACUGCUCUCAUAGGUCAGAUGAAGGCCUUGCUAAUUUCAGCUGGAUGCGGGGCCAUGUGUUUGAUUAUACUUGUGCAGUUAUAAUCUAUGAGAUGUGCAUUGAGGGACAAACUGCAACUGUCUCGAAUGUUAGACACCAAGAAAAGCUGAAGUAUCCUCCACAUCCUCUAAAUACUAUUGAGCUUGAGAAACGAGCUUCACGAUACUUCCGGAUGAGCUCUGAACACACAAUGAAGGUGGCAGAAGAACUUUACCAAACUGGUUUCAUCAGUUAUCCUCGUACAGAAACUGAUAGCUUUUCUCCAAGGACUAAUUUGCAUGCAAUUGUGCAAGAACAACAAGGGCAUCCUGAAUGGGGAAUAUAUGCACAGCGGUUGUUGGACCCUGAGGCGGGACUUUGGAGAAACCCUAGAGGUGGCGGACAUGAUGACAAGGCUCAUCCACCCAUCCACCCCACAAAAUUUUCUGCCGGGGAAUCAGGAUGGAGCCAAAAUCACCGCAAACUAUAUGAGCUGGUUGUUCGCCACUUCCUGGCAUGUGUCUCAAAGCCUGCAGUUGGAGCUGAAACCACGGUAGAAAUUGACAUUGCUGGUGAACUAUUUUCUGCUUGUGGCAGGGUGAUUCUAGAGAAAAACUACUUGGAUGUUUAUCCCUUUGAAACUUGGGGUGGAUCAUUGAUUCCAACAUAUACUGUUGGUCAACAGUUCACUCCAACAGCAUUGACCCUUGAUUCAGGAGUAACCAGACCACCACCACUUCUGAGUGAAGCUGAUCUGCUGAGUUGUAUGGACAAGGAAGGUAUUGGUACAGAUGCCACCAUGCACGAUCACAUAAAGAAGCUGCUUGAUCGGUUUUAUGCAACUAAAGAUGCUAGCACUCGAUUCACACCAACUAAUCUUGGUGAGGCACUUGUCAUGGGAUACGAUGACAUUGAAAUGGCGUAUAAACUAUGGAAACCAGAACUUAGAUCUGCUAUGGAAAGUGACAUGAAAUCCGUUAGUGAAGGGACUAAAGGCAAAGAUGCAGUUCUGGCAACUAGCUUGGAUAAGAUGAAAGCUUGUUUCUUACAUGCAAGAUUGAAUAAAGUGAAACUUUUAGAGGCCAUGUCAAUAUUUUUCCAAAGAUCAAAUAGAUCUGCCGGUGAUGAGCUGCAUGCAACUGGAGAAGUUGUUAGACGAUGUGGACUCUGCCAAGAAUCAGACAUGGUGCUAAAGAAAAAUCGAGAUGGCAAUUUUAUGGUCGGAUGCUUGGGUUUCCCUCAGUGUAGGAAUGCCGUUUGGCUCCCUGGAUCAGUAUCAGAAGCAGCUGUGACCACCAAUCCUUGCAACUUCUGCACUCCUGGUCCUGUUUACCGGAUUCAGUUGAAGUUUCGGCAGCUGGAAAUACCACCAAACUACAAUAUCAACCAUUUGGGUUGCAUUGGUGGCUGUGAUGAGAUUCUCAGACAGUUGACUGAAAUAUGUGGCACUGGCCCUCGCAUGCCAGCAAGAGCUCGGGGACCCACUGCAUCAACCAGCAGCAACGUCAACCAUAAUAACCCAAGGCAAACAGUUUGUAUGAACUGUCAAGAAACAGGGCAUGCUUCUAAUGAUUGUCCUUCAUUGACUUUACGCUCCAGGAAUGCCCAACAUCCUAGAAUGAACCAACAAAGUGGGGAAACUUCUGUUUCAUGCAGUUCGUGUGGAACACCAUGUGCUUUGCGUACUGCAAAUACAGCAAAUAAUAGGGGAAGGAAGUUCUACUCAUGUCCAUCACAGGAGUGCAACUUUUUUGUAUGGGAGGAUAGCCUCAACAACGGAACUGGAGGAAGAAGUUUUUCACGUUCAAAUAAUAUUCCACCUUCCAACUCUAACCGAAAUAGCGGCCGUGGAUCUCGUGGCAGAGGUAGACAGAAUGCGUCCAACUCUUCUAAUGGGACUUUUGUGUCAGCCACCGGGGAUCCUGUUUCUGGUAGAAGGUGCUUUGUGUGUGGUGAUCCAUCUCACUUUGCUAAUGUCUGCCCCAAUCGUGGAGCCUGAUGUCUCCUCAGUGAUUCCUAUCAGCUGUAUAGAAGAAAACUAGCUCCUCCGCCGCCGCAACCUCCACCCGCCAGUGCUGCCACCCUCCUCCGCCUUCACCACUCAAGAUCGCACACCCAUGAUACCCAGAUCCAGAACCAGUAGCGGCGGAACCGGAGAGGAUGGUGGCGUCGAGACAAUUUCUUCAUCUCCGAUCUGCAAAACCUGAGCCACCGCCAACAUCUCCGAUCUGUUUGAGGUGGCGGUGGUGGAGAUGGUCCUUUCAGCGGCGGUGGCGGUUUCGGUGGGAGAGGCGGUGGUUGGAAUUUCAACAGAUUUGGGGGUGUUGGAAUUUCAAUAUAUAUUGCGUUCAAGAGGAUUGUUCAGAUUGUUACUGAUGGAUCAAUUGCACCCCUAUUUAGCUAAAUUGCUCUAUCAUGCUGGAAUUGAUGUCAUUUUGGUUGCAAUUUUGGAACUUGGAAAUACCCAUUACGAUUACAGAGAUUUCUAUUCCCUUUUGGUAUGAGCAAAGUAGAUUUGGAAUUGUUGAUUUUAA